UGUGCGUAUCACCCUGAAUGUGCCUGAUCUUGUCUGAUCUCAGAGGCUAAGCAGGGUUGGGCCUGGUUAGUACUUAGAUGAGAGAGGAAAGGCAGACAAAAUAC
ensembl:rRNA 5S_rRNA 5S ribosomal RNA